AUUCUUCACACAGAACUGCCAUUCAUAUUACAGUGUUUCACACAAACACAGACUCAUUCUCUCUGCUGAACUACAAUCAGAUUUCAGCAUUCAAUCUUUCUUCUUCUCAAAUAAUACCAAUCACAUUUCCAUUCCAUAAUUCACUUCACAAUAUUCAGAAACUUUCAAUCCUCUUAUUCAAAGAAAAUAACAAACAAAAGAAAAGAUGUAGCACCAACUUACUCCGGCUCAGUACUCUCACAGCCUGGCUCCUGGCUCAGCACUCUCACAAUCUGGCCCUCGGCUCACAACUCUCAUAGUCUGGCCUCCGGCUCAACAUUCUCACAAUCUGGC
rnacentral:lncRNA from 1 species